rnacentral:rRNA from 1 species
AGUGAACGCUGGCGGUAGGCCUAACACAUGCAAGUCGAACGGCAGCACAGUAAGAGCUUGCUCUUACGGGUGGCGAGUGGCGGACGGGUGAGGAAUACAUCGGAAUCUACUUUUUCGUGGGGGAUAACGUAGGGAAACUUACGCUAAUACCGCAUACGACCUACGGGUGAAAGCAGGGGAUCUUCGGACCUUGCGCGAUUGAAUGAGCCGAUGUCGGAUUAGCUAGUUGGCGGGGUAAAGGCCCACCAAGGCGACGAACCGUAGCUGGUCUGAGAGGAUGAUCAGCCACACUGGAACUGAGACACGGUCCAGACUCCUACGGGAGGCAGCAGUGGGGAAUAUUGGACAAUGGGCGCAAGCCUGAUCCAGCCAUACCACGUGGGUGAAGAAGGCCUUCGGGUUGUAAAGCCCUUUUGUUGGGAAAGAAAAGCAGCAGGUUAAUACCCCGCUGUUCUGACGGUACCCAAAGAAUAAGCACCGGCUAACUUCGUG